rnacentral:tRNA from 1 species
ACUAUUUUGGCAGAGAAGUGCAUUAGAUUUAGGAUCUAUAAAUAUAGGUUUAUAUCCUAUAAGUAGUA